rfam:Gossypium hirsutum cultivar TM-1 chromosome 5, whole genome shotgun sequence
UAUUAAAAAUUUCAUUCAUUUGUAAUGUUAAAAACUAGACAGUGACACAUGUCGUGUCAUGUGUACCUUAUACCGAUGUACAUAUAUCAGUUUUUAACAAUAAAAAUUGAUAAAAAUUUUUAACA